AUGUUCAUGGCGCAGGAAGAGCCCGGCCUAGCCCUGGGCCUCUCCCUCGGCUCCGGUGCCGGGCACCACCACCACCAGCUGCCUCAGCCGAAAGAAGCGGUGCCUCUGGAGCCGUACCUGUCCCUGAGCCUGGCCGGCGCCGGCGCGGUGAAGAGGGAGGAGGAGGAGAGGGCCCUGAUCUACUGCUCGGCAGCGUCGUCGGCGGCGGACGACCUGGUCGAGGGGUACAACAGCAGCGGUGGCGGCAGCCGGAAGAAGCUGAGGCUGACCAAGGACCAGACGGCGCUCCUGGAAGAUCACUUCAAGGAGCAGAGCACCCUCAGCCAUAAGCAGAAGGCAUCUUUGGCAAGGCAGCUCAACCUCAGGCCAAGGCAGGUUGAGGUUUGGUUCCAGAACAGAAGAGCCAGGACGAAGCUGAAGCAAACGGAGGUGGACUGCAAGCUGCUCAAGCGCUGCUGCGAGACGCUAACGGAGGAGAACCGCCGCCUCCACCGUGAGCUCCAGCACCUCCGCGCCCUCCACCACCACCAACACCACCACCCAGCCGCCGCUUUCUUCAUUCCGUCCGCCGCCACGGCGGCCUCCGUUUGCCCUUCCUGCACCGGUGCACCGCCUGCCCACGCCGCCGACCGCCCUGCCACCAAACGCAGCUUCUUCGCCACCAAAUCCGCAGCUUGCUAG
rnacentral:rRNA from 1 species